CGCUCAAUGCUGCUGGCACGCACUGGGAAACUACACACAGAACACUGGCUAAACCAGACUGGAUGCAGACAGGCCAAAGAAGCCAUGCUUGGCAUCAACGCUCACAAGGACGCUCCUUCAACUAGGAAAGGUUCGACUGAGUAUGGUAACCAGUGUCAUAACAGGUCAUGGACUUUUUAACAAACAUCUUUUUAUAACAGGUGUCACGGACAGUCCCCUAUGUCGUGGAUGCAUGGAGAAGGAAGAAACAGCCUCUCACGUGGUGUUGGAAUGCAGCGGAGUGGCCCCAUACAGAGCAAAACAUCUCGGAUCUCCGAGAGACCUCCCCGAGGUCCUACUCAACAUUAAAGGUUUGGUGGGAUUCCUCGAGGAGCUGGGCUGGCAGGACUAGCCCACCCCC